CGGGUGUAGCUCAGUGGUAGAGCUCUUGCUUCCCAAGCAAGUUGUCGUGAGUUCGAUCCUCAUCACC
rnacentral:tRNA from 1 species